AAUAGAUACCCGGGUAGUCCACGCCGUAAACGUUGGGCGCUAGGUGUGGGGCUCAUUCCACGAGUUCCGUGCCGCAGCAAACGCAUUAAGCGCCCCGCCUGGGGAGUACGGCCGCAAGGCUAAAACUCAAAGGAAUUGACGGGGCCCCGCACAAGCGGCGGAGCAUGCGGAUUAAUUCGAUGCAACGCGAAGAACCUUACCAAGGCUUGACAUGCAGGGUAAUCCGGCAGAGAUGUCGGGUCCGCAAGGGAUCUUGCACAGGUGGUGCAUGGUUGUCGUCAGCUCGUGUCGUGAGAUGUUGGGUUAAGUCCCGCAACGAGCGCAACCCUCGUUCUAUGUUGCCAGCGCGUGAUGGCGGGGACUCAUAGGAGACUGCCGGGGUCAACUCGGAGGAAGGUGGGGAUGACGUCAAAUCAUCAUGCCCCUUAUGUCCAGGGCUACACACGUGCUACAUUGGCGCAUACAAAGGGCAGCAAUACCGUGAGGUGGAGCGAAUCCCAUAAAGGUGCGUCUCGGUUCGGU
rnacentral:rRNA from 1 species